UACGUAGGGUGCGAGCGUUGUCCGGAAUUAUUGGGCGUAAAGAGCUUGUAGGCGGUUUGUCGCGUCUGCUGUGAAAAUCCGGGGCUCAACCCCGGACUUGCAGUGGGUACGGGCAGACUAGAGUGUGGUAGGGGAGACUGGAAUUCCUGGUGUAGCGGUGGAAUGCGCAGAUAUCAGGAGGAACACCGAUGGCGAAGGCAGAUCUCUGGGCCGUAACUGACGCUGAGGAGCGAAAGCGUGGGGAGCGAACAGG
rnacentral:rRNA from 1 species